AAAAUGGCAUCAACUUCAAAAUCUCGGAAUCUGCCAUAGUUAUCCCAAUAACCAUUCGAUUACAGCAUUAUUGGGAUUUUUGACAUAAUUUUUUGUAGUUGAUAGAAAAACAGACGAAGAACAGAUUUAGAUUCGUCAAUUUUUGUAUUGAUGUCGACGAACAGCUGUAUUCAACGAUACGACAAUUUUUGUACUGAUUUCGACGAAGAGCUGUAUUCAACAAUUAGAUAAUUUUUGUACUGAUUUCGACGAAGAACGGAUUUAGAUUCGAC
rnacentral:lncRNA from 1 species